AUUGAACGCUGGCGGCAGGCCUAACACAUGCAAGUCGAGCGGAUGAAGGGAGCUUGCUCCUGGAUUCAGCGGCGGACGGGUGAGUAAUGCCUAGGAAUCUGCCUUGUAGUGGUGGAUAACGUCCGGAAACGGGCGCUAAUACCGCAUACGUCCUGAGGUAGAAAGUGUGGGAUCUUCGGACCUCACGCUCUCAGAUGAUCCUAGGUCGGAUUAGCUAGUUGGUGGGGUAAAGGCCUACCAAGGCGACGAUCCGUAACUGGUCUGAGAGGAUGAUCAGUCACACGGGAACUGAGACACGGUCCAGACUCCUACGGGAGGCAGCAGUGGGGAAUAUUGGACAAUGGGCGAAAGCAUGAUACAGCAAUGCCGCGUGUGUGAAGAAGGACUUCGGAUUGUAAAGCACUUUAAGUUGGGAGGAAGGGCAGUAAGUUAAUACCUUGCUGUUUUGACGUUACCAACAGAAUAAGCACCGGCUAACUUCGUG
rnacentral:rRNA from 1 species